rnacentral:misc_RNA from 1 species
UUGAGAUUCAGUAGCGAUACAAUAAGACAAGUAUCUAAUGUUGCAAAAUCUUUCCAACCACAUUGAAACAUCAGCAAUGUAAAUAGGAAGACUUAAAAAAAAAAAAAGGAACAGUAAGGCAAUACUCUGGGCCAAAAUGACAUCGAGGGAGUGCGAGUAAAGCUCCAAUAGCAAACAGCACCACAGCCGCUUCAUUUUCUUGCCAAAACCACUUUAAG